UAAUUUGCCCUUUUCAGGGCAACCAAAUAUUUUAUAUCCAUUGGAUU
rfam:Cerapachys biroi unplaced genomic scaffold scaffold413, whole genome shotgun sequence.